AUAUUCGAGAAACGUGCGGUGACU
rnacentral:siRNA from 1 species